GCCCGGGUGGCGGAACUGGCAGACGCACGGGACUUAAAAUCCCGAGGCCUUUACGGGCCGUGGGGGUUCGAUUCCCCCCCCGGGCA
rnacentral:tRNA from 1 species